UCGUCGAAAAGGCAAAACCACCGAAAGGUGGCGACGCAAAGCUACAGGGUCUACACCUGAGAGAUCAGUCACGACAGCCAGCUGCCGAA
rnacentral:ncRNA from 1 species